rnacentral:rRNA from 1 species
AUUGAACGCUGGCGGCAUGCUUUACACAUGCAAGUCGAACGGUAACAGGGUGCUUGCACCGCUGACGAGUGGCGAACGGGUGAGUAAUGCAUCGGAAUGUACCGUGUAAUGGGGGAUAGCUCGGCGAAAGCCGGAUUAAUACCGCAUACGCCCUGAGGGGGAAAGUGGGGGACCGAAAGGCCUCACGUUAUACGAGCAGCCGAUGUCUGAUUAGCUAGUUGGUGAGGUAAAGGCUCACCAAGGCGUCGAUCAGUAGCGGGUCUGAGAGGAUGAUCCGCCACACUGGGACUGAGACACGGCCCAGACUCCUACGGGAGGCAGCAGUGGGGAAUUUUGGACAAUGGGCGCAAGCCUGAUCCAGCCAUGCCGCGUGUCUGAAGAAGGCCUUCGGGUUGUAAAGGACUUUUGUCCGGGAGCAAAUCCUAGUGUUUAAUACCUACUGGGGCUGAGAGUACCGGAAGAAUAAGCACCGGCUAACUACGUG